AGGUUUAUCUUCCAUCAUGGAAUAAAGAUGAAAAUGUUGGAGCUCUGUGAUGUCACAACAACGUGCAAUACGGGAGUGUACCUAGAACAGUACUCUAAAUAUCACCUGGUCGUACAAAGAUUUGGAAUUUGGAAAUUAAAGCGGCAAUCGUAUUUAUUUUAAAAGGGACUUUAAAGUACAUCCAGGCUUUAAAGGGAGAUGUUAACACUACAAGGACCAAUUAAAGAAUGAAGAAAAAAGAACAAACACAUCAACCGUUUUUCCUUUUCUAAUUGUUAAACUCUGUUUAAUUUUUUGCUACAAAAAUCAAAUUUUGCUUUACUUUGCUGAACCAAAAAUGAACAGUGUACUUUGUAGUUGAAUAUUUCUGUUUCUAUUUCUCUAAUCAGAACGUUGAUUGGUCAAAUUAGAAUUAGCUCUAUUUAAGCUGUGAACUUGUCCUAUUAAAUAAUAAUUCUAGAGCUGGGAAGAAUUGGCUAACAAACAAAUGAUUUUAAGCCUUUUUUUUCUGUUUCUAUUCCGUCGAAAAGUUGCGUGAUACAAUAAAAUAUGGGCAGUAGAAACUAAAACAGUAUUCUAAUAAUGUCACUAGACUAAGAAGUUGGGAAUAAAAAUUUAAAUCAAAUCGUGCUGAAUGCAUUGUAGGAAUGCUUCUUUUGAUAAUCUUUUGAGGAGAGAUUUGUUAACAUUUUAACUUUAAUCAGGGGCCUCCGAAGGAUUUAUUGUUAUCAUUUUCUUUGACACU
rnacentral:lncRNA from 1 species